rnacentral:rRNA from 1 species
UACGUAGGGGGCAAGCGUUGUCCGGAGUUACUGGGCGUAAAGCGCACGCAGGCGGUCUCUUAAGUUUGGAGUGACAGUUGGUGGCUUAACUGCCAAAGUGCUUCGAAAACUGAGAGACUUGAGGGCUUCAGAGGGGCACGGAAUUCCGGGUGGAGUGGUGAAAUGCGUAGAGAUCCGGAGGAACACCAGUGGCGAAAGCGGCCACCUGGACUGUACCUGACGCUGAAACGCGAAAGCUAGGGGAGCGAACGGG